UACUUAUCCAGAAAGGUGGAGGGAUUAGGCCCAAAGAAACCUUAGCAACCUGCUCUUAGAGGCAAGGUGCUACUUCCUACUGAAGCCGAAAGGCGGAGGGGCAGAUAAGCG
rnacentral:ncRNA from 2 species